rnacentral:rRNA from 1 species
UAGUCCACGCUGUAAACGAUGUCGAUUUGGAGUUUGUUGCCUAGAGUGAUGGGCUCCGAAGCUAACGCGAUAAAUCGACCGCCUGGGGAGUACGGCCGCAAGGUUAAGACUCAAAUGAAUUGACGGGGGCCCGCACAAGCGGUGGAGCAUGUGGUUUAAUUCGAUGCAACGCGAAGAACCUUACCUGGUCUUGACAUCCAUAGAAUUCUGCAGAGAUGUGGGAGUGCCUUCGGGAACUAUGAGACAGGUGCUGCAUGGCUGUCGUCAGCUCAUGUUGUGAAAUGUUGGGUUAAGUCCCGCAACGAGCGCAACCCUUAUUCUUUGUUGCCAGCGAUUUGGUCGGGAACUCAAAGGAGACUGCCGUUGAUAAAGCGGAGGAAGGUGGGGACGACGUCAAGUCAUCAUGGCCCUUACGACCAGGGCUACACACGUGCUACAAUGGCGUAUACAAAGGGAAGCGAAGGUGCGAGCUGGAGCGGAUCUCAUAAAGUACGUCUAAGUUCGGAUUGGAGUCUGCAACUCGACUCCAUGAAGUCGGAAUCGCUAGUAAUCGUAGAUCAGAAUGCUACGGUGAAUACGUUCCCGGGCCUUGUACACACCGCCCGUCACACCAUGGGAGUGGGUUGCACCAGAAGUAGAUAGCUUAACCGCGAGGGGGGCGUUUACCACGGUGUGAUUCAUGACUGGGGUGAAGUCGUAACAAGGUAACCA